CCUGUCCUCGAAAGCAUUGCAGGUGUGACUGUUGUGUCAUGUGUGUAUCAAUAGGUGGCAGAGAGGAGAGAGGCUGUGUCUAUGCUUAGUGUUCUGACCUGUAAACAUCUGAAUGAUUAGUAACCUAAUAUU